UCUGCCUCCCGAGUGCUGGGAUUAAAGGCGCGCGCCACCACUGCCCGGCUUAAACUAUGUAUUUUUUAACGUGGAGCAAAGUUUGUGAGAGCGAAUUCUCAAAAGACUACAGUUGAAAAGCAAGGCGGAAAGCACAGGGCUAAGGUUCUCGCUGAACUCAGAGCGAUGGCAGCGGCCGCUGGUUAAACCUAUGAGGGAAACACAGGGAUCCCGCUGUGCAAGCAAGGAGAGGCAUUGGCUACCGGAAGAGAAAGCAGGAAAAAAAAAAAAACCCAUUAGGUUAGCAACAAGUGGACAGUAUGAGGAGAAAGCUGAGGUUACUCCACAUCAGAGACGGUGGACGCUUGAGAGCAACGCACUGGAUCACACCCACUCCGGGAAAGACAGGCAACCGAGUCACCUUAAGGAAAGACACCAAAAACGAGGAAGGGCAUAGGAAAAAUAGGGGAGGCAGGCAGGAAUCUGGUUUCCCGCUUCACACACACUAAGAAACUGUUUCAAGUUCCUAUCAGCCCUCAAUCCGAAAGGCAAAGCAUUUACAUUGCAAAAGAUGUCAGAGAAGAAACCAUACCCAAAUAUUUCAGAAAUCUCUAAAAGUCUGUUAGUUCUCCAAAAGAACACAUUUAAGGAUGGGGGAGGGGGUGGAGAAGCGGGAGUCGAUCUCAAACUUCUUCAGAACUCUGGAAAUUAACCAAUGGAUUGCAAACCCCUAGGAAGAAUGUUCAUGAAGAAUAGAGCCGGUGACCAUAACAACCAUCGGUUAGUGACAUCUCACCUGCCCCGUGACUAUCUCCGCUUCGCAUCUCCCUGGCUCUUGCAGACAGUACUGAAACUAUCGGGUCUGGGAAAACCAACAACGUAGCAGGCCCUGGAGGGCUGUGGGGGGUGGGGGGUGGGGGGUUGGAGGUUUCUAAGUGAAUCACUCACAGAGAAUGUUCACUAUUUGACCCGUCUAAGAAAGUUUGUCCUUAGGACUUGCCUUUACUGCCCGACUGGCAACUUGCAGCUCUGCAAAUAGUCAUAUUUUAUUUUAAAAAAUCAAUAGCAAUUGUUUCUCAAAAAUGGUUUUCCAAGGGAAGAGUGUCAACUGGAGCUAAUAGAAAGAAGAAGAAAAACCUUUGAAGGAAAACCUGGAGAAGGAGACUUCGUAAUGGGCUUUCAGACUUUCUUACACAUCCCUUGUGGUGUAGGAGAUGAUCACAGGGUGGGAUGUGAAGACAGGAAAGACAUGCAAAGAUUUUUUUUUUUUUAACCUUGGGUUGGCCCUGAGGUCUUGUGCAAGCAGGAAAUGAUGGCUACUUCUGAUCUGUACACUAUCUGUUGACAUGCUGGAGGCAUACUGCAACACAUGCAGCUCCUGAACAAGCUGGGGUCGUAAAUCAGUGGAAAGCAUUUAAAGAAGUCCUUGUAUAACCAUUAGCUGACCAAAAAGCUAACCUAGGAGAGAUUUCAGUGGCCGCACAUAAUAACACAGACUUUAGAAAAUCAGUCUAGGAAAAUCCAAGACUAACCAUAACAGCAACAAAUCCUGGGAGGAAGACAUUUGAUUUCAGGAAUCAUUCUUCACAUGUUUACUUCACUGUCAGAACAGCUGUUGCAGCGACCAUAUCUCUUCUGCAUCCCAGAGAGCAGGGAAAGGAAGAGAAAAUGCCCCUUGAGCAGUUUUGAGACACCUUCCUAGAAGCCAGCAUGGGGCUUUGAUUCUUGAAUGCUGUUGGUCACAUGCCACCUCUAGUUGAGGGAGAAGAUACAGGAUCCCUUACAGAACAGUGGAGCAAGGGUCACAGACUUUCUCUUGGGUGGUUGGUACAGAAGCGGCAGAGAAGCAUGGCUUGGAGUUUGGUUCCAUCACCCUUGAACUGAACGGCAGGG